GAUGAACGCUAGCGGCGUGCUUAACACAUGCAAGUCGAACGGUGAAGCAGGAGCUUGCUCUUGUGGAUCAGUGGCGAACGGGUGAGUAACACGUGAGCAACCUGCCCCUGACUCUGGGAUAAGCGCUGGAAACGGCGUCUAAUACUGGAUAUGUGAUGUGACCGCAUGGUCUGCAUCUGGAAAGAAUUUCGGUUGGGGAUGGGCUCGCGGCCUAUCAGCUUGUUGGUGAGGUAAUGGCUCACCAAGGCGUCGACGGGUAGCCAGCCUGAGAGGGUGACCGGCCACACCGGGACUGAGACACGGCCCAGACUCCUACGGGAGGCAGCAGUGGGGAAUAUUGCACAAUGGGCGGAAGCCUGAUGCAGCAACGCCGCGUGAGGGAUGACGGCCUUCGGGUUGUAAACCUCUUUUAGCAGGGAAGAAGCGAAAGUGACGGUACCUGCAGAAAAAGCACCGGCUAACUACGUGCCAGCCGCCGCAGUAA
rnacentral:rRNA from 1 species